CAGUAGCCGCGGGAAUACGCAGGGUGCGAGCGUUUAUCGGAAUUACUGGGCGUAAAGCGUGCGCAGGCGGUUAUGCAAGACAGAUGUGAAAUCCCCGGGCUCAACCUGGGAACUGCAUUUGUGACUGCAUGACUAGAGUACGGCAGAGGGGGAUGGAAUUCCGCGUGUAGCAGUGAAAUGCGUAGAUAUGCGGAGGAACACCGAUGGCGAAGGCAAUCCCCUGGGCCUGUACUGACGCUCAUGCACGAAAGCGUGGGGAGCAAACAGGAUUAGAUACCCCGGUAGUCCCUGUCUCUUAUAC
rnacentral:rRNA from 1 species